rnacentral:lncRNA from 1 species
UUUGAUCUUUUGAAAGAGACAAAUACACCGUUGUGUGAAGGCUCUCGAGACUCAAAGUUAACGGUGUGUAUUAGACUUUUGGGUAUCAAGUAUGAAUGUCUUGUUUCAGAAUACACCAUGGACUUGAUAAUGAAACUGAUGUUGGAUAUAACAAUAGACCGCCCUCUUGAUUUGCCAAAAAAUUAUUAUGAAGCAAGACAAUUGGUUG